rnacentral:rRNA from 1 species
CCAGACUCCUACGGGAGGCAGCAGUGAGGAAUAUUGGUCAAUGGUCGGGAGACUGAACCAGCCAAGCCGCGUGAGGGAUGAAGGUACAGAGUAUCGUAAACCCCUUUUGUCAGGGAACAAAGGCGGGGACGUGUCCCCGGAUGAGUGUACCUGAAGAAAAAGCAUCGGCUAACUCCGUGCCAGCAGCCGCGGUAAUACGGAGGAUGCGAGCGUUAUCCGGAUUUAUUGGGGUUAAAGGGGGCGCAGGCGGGGUGUAAGUGGGCAGGGGAAAGCGGGGGGGCACCCCCCCGACCCCGCCGUUGAAACUGGCAGUCUCGAGUUGGAGAGAAGUAUGCGGAAUGCGCGGUGUAGCGGUGAAAUGCAUAGAUAUCGCGCAGAACUCCGAUUGCGAAGGCAGCAUGCCGGCUCCACACUGACGCUGAGGCACGAAAGCGUGGGUAUCGAACAGGAUUAGAUACCCUGGUA